GCCGCCUAAGCACAGACGGUUGUGCAGUUCCAUGGUAAGGAAAAGGUUGUGGGUUCGAAUCCCUCAGGCGGCGCCA
rnacentral:tRNA from 1 species